UACGAGGGGGGCGAGCGUUGUUCGGAAUCACUGGGCGUAAAGAGUGCGUAGGCGGUCAUGAAAGUUAGAAGUGAAAGCCCAAGGCUCAACCUUGGAAUUGCUUUUAAUACUACAUGACUCGGAUUCGGGAGAGGAUAGCGGAAUUCUCAGUGUAGCAGUGAAAUGCGUAGAUAUUGAGAGGAACACCGGUGGCGUAAGCGGCUAUCUGGACCGACAUUGACGCUGAGGCACGAAAGCGUGGGCAUCAAACAGG
rnacentral:rRNA from 1 species